UACGUAGGGUGCGAGCGUUGUCCGGAAUUAUUGGGCGUAAAGAGCUUGUAGGCGGUCUGUCGCGUCUGCUGUGAAAAUCCGGGGCUCAACCCCGGACUUGCAGUGGGUACGGGCAGACUAGAGUGUGGUAGGGGAGACUGGAAUUCCUGGUGUAGCGGUGAAAUGCGCAGAUAUCAGGAGGAACACCAGUGGCGAAGGCGGCGCUCUGGGCUGGAACUGACGCUGAGGAGCGAAAGCGUGGGGAGCGAACAGG
rnacentral:rRNA from 1 species